rnacentral:rRNA from 1 species
UAGUUCCUACGGGGCGCAGCAGUGAGGAAUAUUGGUCAAUGGACGCAAGUCUGAACCAGCCAUGCCGCGUGCAGGAAGACGGCUCUAUGAGUUGUAAACUGCUUUUGUACGAGGGUAAACGCAGAUACGUGUAUCUGUCUGAAAGUAUCGUACGAAUAAGGAUCGGCUAACUCCGUGCCAGCAGCCGCGGUAAUACGGAGGAUUCAAGCGUUAUCCGGAUUUAUUGGGUUUAAAGGGUGCGUAGGCGGUCGGAUAAGUUAGAGGUGAAAUCCCGAGGUGCAACUUCGGGAAU